GGGCGCAUAGCUCAGCUGGUUAGAGCGUUGCAUUCACAUUGCAAAGGCCUCAGGUUCAAAUCCUGAUGCGCCCA
rfam:Candidatus Levybacteria bacterium RIFCSPHIGHO2_01_FTLL_37_33 rifcsphigho2_01_scaffold_23904, whole genome shotgun sequence.